UACUAACGCUGGCGGCAUGCCUUACACAUGCAAGUCGAACGGCAGCACGGGAGCUUGCUCCUGGUGGCGAGUGGCGAACGGAUGAGUAAUACAUCGGAACGUACCCAGUAGUGGGGGAUAACGCACCGAAAGGUGCGCUAAUACCGCAUACGACCUACGGGUGAAAGCGGGGGACCGUAAGGCCUCGCGCUAUUGGAGCGGCCGAUGUCUGAUUAGCUAGUUGGUGAGGUAAAGGCUCACCAAGGCUUCGAUCAGUAGCUGGUCUGAGAGGACGAUCGGCCACACGGGGACUGGGACACGGCCCGGACUCCUACGGGAGGCAGCAGUGGGGAAUUUUGGACAAGGGGAGAAAGCCUGAUCCAGCAAUGCCGCGUGUGUGAAGAAGGCCUUCGGGUUGUAAAGCACUUUUGUCCGGAAAGAAAUGGCUCUGGUUAAUACCUGGGGUCGAUGACGGUACCGGAAGAAUAAGGACCGGCUAACUACGUGCCAGCAGCCGCCGUAA
rnacentral:rRNA from 1 species